rnacentral:rRNA from 1 species
UACGGGGGGGGCAAGCGUUGUUCGGAAUUACUGGGCGUAAAGGGCUCGUAGGUGGCCAACUAAGUCAGACGUGAAAUCCCUCGGCUUAACCGGGGAACUGCGUCUGAUACUGGAUGGCUUGAGUUCGGAAGAGGGAUGCGGAAUUCCAGGUGUAGCGGUGAAAUGCGUAGAUAUCUGGAGGAACACCGGUGGCGAAGGCGGCAUCCUGGACCGAUACUGACACUGAGGAGCGAAAGCCAGGGGAGCAAACGGG